rnacentral:rRNA from 1 species
UAAUACGGAGGGUGCAAGCGUUAUUCGGAAUUACUGGGUUUAAAGGGUGCGUAGGCGGUUAAAUAAGUUGUCAGUGAAAGGCUACGGCUCAACUGUAGUAGUGCUGGCGAUACUGUAUAACUAAGGACAUGGGAGGGGUACCUGGAAUGUGUGGUGUAGCGGUGAAAUGCGUAGAUAUCACACAGAACACCGGAGGCAAAGGCGGGGUACUAGACCAUAGUUGACGCUGAGGCACGAAGGCGUGGGGAUCAAACAGGAUUAGAUACCCUGGUAGUCCACGCCCUAAACGAUGAUCACUAGAUAUUGGCGACAGACAGUCAGUGUCCAAGCGAAAGUGAUAAGUGAUCCACCUGGGGAAUACGGCCGCAAGGUUAAAACUCAAAGGAAUUGACGGGGGCCCGCACAAGCGGAGGAGCAUGUGGUUUAAUUCGAUGGUACGCGAGGAACCUUACCUGGGUUAGAACGUAUGAUAAAUGUAGCUGAAAGGUUACAGUCCUGCAAGGGAUAUCAUACGAGGUGCUGCAUGGUUGUCGUCAGCUCGUGCCGUGAGGUGUUUGGUUAAGUCCAGCAACGAGCGCAACCCCUACCUUUAGUUGCCAGCAGGUAAAGCUGGGGACACUAGAGGGACUGCCUGCGCAAGCAGAGAGGAAGGUGGGGAUGACGUCAAAUCAGCACGGCCCUUAUGUCCAGGGCUACACACGUGCUACAAUGGUAACUACAGAGGGCAGCGACUAGGCGACUAGGAGCGAAUCUCGAAAAGUUAUCUCAGUUCGGAUUGGAGUCUGCAACUCGACUCCAUGAAGGUGGAUUCGCUAGUAAUCGCGCAUCAGCAAUGGCGCGGUGAAUACGUUCCCGGGCCUUGUACACACCGCCCGUCAAGCCAUGGAAGUUGGGGGUACCUAAAGUUCGUAACCGUAAAAGGAGCGACCUAGGGUAAACUCGAUGACUGGGGCU